GUCCCUGGAUAUCCUAGUGGUGAUUUAAACCAAGUUUGUUUAAAUUUGACAGUUGUUUCAGGGGAGAAUUUUGUAAAAUUUAUCUAACGAGAAAUGCAAAGUAAUGAGAAAGUUGUGAAGUUGUUUUGUUGUUGCGCAACCCCCCCGCUCCCCCUUUGCCAAAAAACCCAAAAAGGUAAUAAAAAAUUAUCAUAUAAGGGCAAUCUAUCCUAUUAAUGAUUUCUGCAAAAUUCAGUUGAUUGUGCAAGGGUUGUAUAGCCAGCUGAGGUCGUGAAAAACUCUCUUUUGUUGUUGCAGAUAGAUCUAGACCUGAUAAACAAUUUUACCACAUGUCAGAUUUGCUCUAAAUGCUUUGGUUUUUGAGUGAUAAGCCAAAAACUGCAUUUUACCCCUAAGUUCUAUUUUUAGUCAUGGCGGCCAUCUUGGUUGGUUGGCCAGGUCACCGGACACAAUUUUUAAACUAGAUACCCGAAUGAUGAUUGUGGCCAAGUUUGGUUUAAUUUUGCCCAGCAGUUUCAGAGGAGAAGAUUUUUGUAAAAGAUAACUAAGAUUUACGAAAAAUGGUUAAAAAUUGACUAUAAAGGGCAAUAACUCCUAAAGG
rnacentral:lncRNA from 1 species